AAAAACAGGGAUGCAGACAGAGUGGAUCCGGGUUAUCGGAUCGGUGCGGAUCCGGAACGGAUUAGAAUGGAUCGUAAUUCGUAGGUGUUUACCGCCUCCGACUCUAUUUACUUGAUGAAUCGGGACAGAUUUGAAACGAGUUAUAUAUUUUUUUUAUAUCUUUUGUUUCCACUUACGGCCUAAUUCGGAACGGAUCGGAGCGGGAGUUUCACCAACCCGGAUCCAUUUACAUUU
rnacentral:lncRNA from 1 species